CCCUUAGAUGUUCUGGGCGGCCCGCGCACUACAUUGGCACUAGCAAAGAGAUCCUAGAUUGAAUUCUUUGGGGUAUUCUUCUAAAUGGUGUCGUGACUGGGAUAAAUCCUUGUAAUUAUUGGUUUUGAACGAGGAAUUCCUUGUAAUCGCGGUUUAUCAGCUCGCGUUGAAUGCGUCCCUGCCCUUUGUACACACCGCCCGUCGCUCCUACCGAUGGAUCGUCCGGUGAAGCUCACGGAGUGACUGUUCACGCAACGGUUUACGAAGUGAAAUGGACCUCACGAUUUAGAGGGAGGAGAAGUCGUAACA
rnacentral:rRNA from 1 species